rnacentral:lncRNA from 1 species
UCUCUUCGAAUAGUCUAGGUUGCAUCUAAUUUUUUUUUAUUAAUCUACAUGAAUAAAGAUUAAAUUCUUAUCUGAAUAAUAGUGGAACUAAAAAUCAAAUCUUUAAAAAUCUAAAAUAAAUAUUUAUGGAGGCCUGAAAGUGCAGACCCUCUACUUCGCAUACAUGUCAGACAGCACAGAAAAGCAGGAUGAACUCAGAUCAAAUCACUUUCGUAACCCAAUCAAAUGAGGGAGGAGAUGUACUGGUGUGAUGCCUCACACCAGCAAAGGGGACACCCAAGAUGGAUCCCAUGCCAAGGAGAAAGGGGGCGGCCACAAAGGAGAUGCCAAGG